GAAAUGUGAUUACAAUUUAUUUAUCUUGAACUUAAAAUGAUGAAAAGAAAAACAGAUAUGAAAGAUCUCAGCAUUACUUUUAAAGUUGACAAAGGCAAAUGAAAAAGGAUGAGAAAAGCAUGACAAGACAUUGAUGUUGCAGACUUUUGAAAAAAAAUUAUGGUCAGAUGUUGAGAACAGAUAGGUCAUAUAAGAAUUUGGAUAAAAAAAACCGAAAGCGAGAAAUUUUGAGAACCUUUUUACUACAAUGAAUGAUUUUGAUUGCAUUACAUGCAUUGCAUUAUGAGCACUCAGUACAUGCAUUCAUGAGAAGUUGUAACAAAGAUAGAAAAUUUUCAUUUCUUAAUGAAAAACAACAUUUUGGUAAAGACGAUGAUCAAACAAAGGAAUUCAAAAGAGAUAAAUUUACUUGUUUAAAGAUGAGAACUCAAAUUUGAAAUUUCAAAGAUGAGAAUUUUAAAGUUGUGGAGCCUCUGUUGGGGAUGAGCUUUUCCAGAUGAGAUUUUAAAAUUGUGGAGCCUCUAUUGAAAGGAGCUUUUCCGGAUGAGAUUUUAAAGUUGUUGAGCCUCUGUUGAGAGGAGCUUUUCCAAGAUGAGAAUUUUAAAGUUGUGGAGCCUCUGUUGAGAGGAGCUUUUCCAAAUGAGAUUUUAAAGUUAUUGAGCCUCUGCUGAGAGGAGCUUUUUCAAGAGAAUUUAUUUUCAGACAAAAUCGUUGCUUUGUCUUUGCCCUAUUCCUGAUUCUCAAUAAUGUGCAAAGAGGGACAGCUAUAGACACCGAUUUUGUCCAGGUCUACUGUUUUAUUUUUAUAAUAAUAAUAAUAAUAUUUAACAAAACAAACAAAAAAACAAAACAAACAAAACAAACAAAAAACAAAACAGAAAUAAGACAGAAGUCAAGGGGUUGGUACGAUACCAAACUGCUCCGACCAACUCCCUGUCAACCACUCAACCAACUCCCCAACCAACCCAACCAAUCCCCUGACCAACUCUCUCAGCCUACUUACAACCUACCUAUAGCCACCUAGAUUCCCCUAAAUAGAAACCCUUUAAAAUCCCCAACCAUCUUCCUCAUUGGGGAUCGGUCAGCUCUCGGAAACAAAAAGAAAAAAUCCAUUUUCAAACACACAGCUACCACCCUCAAAAUACACGAGCACCAUCUAGCCGAAAAAGAAAAAAAAAACACAAAAAAAAAUAAAAACACAAAAACAGAAACAAAAACCAAAACGAAAUCAUAGUCCUCCCCGUAAGGAGGAACCUCAGCGCCGAGCCACCUGCACCAACAAAGAAAGGUACCAGUUAGCUUUUGACACAAAAAAAAAUUAUCGAAAACUUCAAAACCCUAUCUACGCGAAUCAAGGCCCUUUUUUGUGAAAAGGAGGCCAGAUUGUGCUCAGGAGGUCGAGAAGAGUUUGUGGGAGAAUUUUAUGAUUUUAUCGACCACCGGUGACCGACGAACGGCGACAGCACCGACGGCCGGUCGGCGUGCGGCUGAAGAAGAAGAGAAAAAAAAAAGCUAUUUUUUUUUAAAGAUUAAAAAAAAUGACGAAAAUUUUUUUUUUUACUUUUAUAUAAACUGUCACUAGCCAAAAUGACAUCGUUUCAAUAAAAGCCCAAAACGAUGCCAUUUUAACCAAAGAAGGAUCCGCGCGUUGACCCGAACCCGACUCGAGAUCCGCGUAACCCGACCCGACGACUCGUUCCAGCCAGCCUUGAACUGAUUCAUACGAACCACCAGUGGACUGGACUGAAUCGGUCAGAUCACCCGAACCGCCAAUCUAACUGCUGAACCGGUUAGAUCGCCUGGACCAGCGUUGACCGGUCCGGUUCAGGUAAAAAAAAAUUUUUUUUAAUUUUCUAUUUUUUUAUAUUAUUAUUUUUGUUAUUUUUUUAAUAUUUAUGCAUGAUAAAUUUGUUAGAAUAAGUGUUUAAUUGUUUUAAUAAUAAUAAAAUUGAAAAUAAAUAAUAAUUAAAAUAUAUUAAAAUGUUUAAAAAAAUAAUUUUUAUUAUUUUCCCUGCCUAGAUGUUGGAGGGAAUAAAAAUAUUUUUUUAAAAGAAAUAAUUUCGCCUAGAUGUUGGGGAAUUAUUAUUAAUAAAUUUUCAUAAAAAAUAAAUAUAAAAAAAAUUUUAAAUUAAUUUUUAAAAAUCACUAAAAUCGAACUUGCUUCGAAAAUCUGCCUAGAUGUUGAGAAUUUUUAGAGAUGUUUGUAUUUUCUUAAAAAUGAAAUCUUAAACACUAAUUCUUAAUUUUCAAAAUCAUAGGUUUCUAAAACUCCUAAAAAUCCAAAAUCCCUAAAAUCCAAAACCCCAAAAAGUCCAAAAUCCUCGAAAUCCAAAGUCCUAAAAAAUCCUAAGAACACGUAUGAAAAUUCUAUUUGAAGCAAUUUGUUCCCGAAUACCGCCUAGAUAAUGGGGUAUUUAGGAAAUUUUACUUCGUGAAGUCUUUUCACACGAUUUUAUAAUCGCAUUAAUGAUAAGAUCAAUAAAUAAAAAAAAAAGAUAACGGUAAAUUGGGAUCUUAAAUAUAAACAGUCGCACCUAAGCUCUGCCUAGAUGUUGGAGAGUCGGGGUGGUCUCAUUAUAUUUAAGAAUUCAACUCUUAAAUUGCAUCUCAUUUUACAUGAUAUUCAUUAGUAUUAUAUACGUUAGCAAGUUAUUAUUAGUAUUUACUUGUAUUAUUCUCUCUUUAAUUUUUUAUUCACUACUUAGUGAUAAAAUAUCUUAUAAUAAAAAAUAAUGCUAAAAAAAAAUCUUUUUGUGAUAUUACAAAAUAAAAUAAAAAUAACAUUCCAAAAAAUAAUUAUUGGUACUCUGCCUAGAUGUUGGAGAGUCACCAACAAUUUUCUAUAAAGAGCGUUAUUUCAUUUUAAGGAUUGUUGUGUUAAAUCUUAAGCGAAAAGAGUUAUUUCAAAUUCUACCUAGAUGUUGGAAGAUUUCAGGAUAAUUCUUUAACUUAAAGAUUUUCUCAAUAUUCCUAAAUAAAAAUUUUAGCAAAAAUAUUUAUAAAAUGAAGGGAAUUAAUGUUAAAUUUCAAAUUAAAACCAUUUCUAUCCAACGUCGAAAAUAGCACAUAAUUAAAUGGUACCAAUUUAUAGGUGUUGUGGGGGUGCUAAUCCUUCCCCACGCAUAACCGACACCCAGACCCAACCUGAUUUUUCGUAGAUCGAAAUUUAUCUUUUUGAUAAGACUUUAAACUUGUUUUUAUAGUUUUAUUAAAAAGAUAAACUUUUGGGUGGCCAAUCACACCUUGACAAAGAUUGGUGGCGAGUCCCUCUUUUUAUUUUUUUUUUCGAUUUUAAAAUAUCUCAUUUUUACGUCUGGCGGUCUUAAAACCGUUACGACAGCUUGGCGACUCCACUAGGGAGUUAUUUGAGAGUCAGGCCAAACUCUACUAUGAGUUUCUUCAUUGAUGGAGAUAUCCUUUACAAAAGAGGUCGAGAUCAAGUGCUCUUAAGAUGUGUAAAUACAGCUGAAACAAAAAAAAUUAUUGAAGGAGUGCAUGAUGGAGUUUGUGGGGCACAUGCAAAUGGUCAUAUGAUGGCUAGACAAAUUAUGAGGGCUGGCUAUUAUUGGUUGACAAUAGAGGGAGACUGUAUUGAUUAUGCUAGGAAAUGUCAUAAAUGUCAGAUUUAUGCUAACAAGAUUCAUGCUUCGCCAUCAACAUUACACGUUUUAGCUCUUCUUUGGCCAUUCUCUAUGUGGGGCAUGGAUGUCAUUGGUCCCAUCACUCCAAAAACUUCGAAUGGGCAUAGAUUCAUUUUUGUGAUGAUUGAUUACUUUACCAAAUGGGUAGAGGCUACAUCAUAUGCUAGUGUGACCCGAUCUGUGGUAUGUAAGUUCAUAAAAAAAGAGAUAAUAUGCAGCUAUGGGCUUCCAGAGAUAAUUAUUUCUGAUAAUGCCAAAAACUUGAAUAACAAAGUGAUGAAUGAAAUAUGCACUUAGUUCAAGAUUCGUCAUCGUAAUUCGACACCAUAUCGUCCGAAAAUGAAUAGGGCAGUGGAGGCUGCGAAUAAGAAUAUCAAAAGAAUCCUGGAGAAAAUGACUGAAACUUACAAAGAUUGGCAUGAGAAGUUACCUUUUACCUUGCAUGCUUAUAGAACAUCAGUCAAAACAUCUACUAGGGCCACACCGUUCUCUUUGGUAUAUGGAAUAGAAGCUGUGCUACCGAUCGAAGUGGAAAUUCCCUCACUGAGAGUCCUGAUGGAGGUAAGAAGAAGCAGAAUGGGUUCAAAAUCACUAUGAACAGUUAAACCUCAUUGAAGAGAAAAGACUAUCAGCACUUUGUCAUGGUCAAUUAUAUCGAAAGAAGAUGAUGAGAGCACAUAACAAGAAAACUCAUCCUCGUUGCUUUAGAGAAGGAGACUUAGUGCUAAAAAGAAUCCUUCCAAAUCAACAUGAUAAUUGGGGGAAAUGGAUACCAAAUUGGAAAGGCCCGUAUGUGGUGAAAAAGGUUUUUUCUGAUAGGGCAUUGAUUUUGGCAGAAAUGGAUGGAGGUAAUUUACCUACCCCAAUAAAUUCAGAUGUUGUGAAGAAAUAUUUUGCUUAAAAAAAAUAAAAAUAAAAAAAGAAAAAAAAUGAUGAUAACUUAUCUAAGUUGAAAACCUGAAAAGGUGGCUUAGAUGUGAAGCAAAAGCAUCAUCAAGAAAAGAUCCCACAAUGCAAAGGCAAGUGUAGUUUGACGAACUCUGAAUAAUCAAAGAAGUCAUCUGAUUUAGUUUUAGAGAAAGAAUCUGAGAAUAUUUUGUUCAUGAUUAUCUUGUGAUCAUUCUUUUGACACCUUUAUUUCAACUCAAACACUUUGACAUACACUUGUUGUCAGCCAUAUGAAAUACAUUAUCUUUCUUUUAAAAAUAAUGCCUAUCAUUUCCUUUAUCCUUAUCUGAUAUUUUUGUCCAUUAAAGAAAUGUGAUUACAUUUUAUUUGUCUUGAACUUAAAAUGAUGAAAAAAAAAUAUAUAUGAAAGAUCUCAGCAUUACUUUUAAAGUUGACAAAGGCAAAUGAAAAGGGAUGAGAAAAGCAUGACAAGACAUUGAUGUUGCAGACUUUUAAAAAAAAAUUAUGGUCAGAUGUUGAGAACAGAUAGGUCAUAUAAGAAUUCGGAUAAAA
rnacentral:lncRNA from 1 species